GGACUAGUGGAGUUUUUACUAGUGAGAAUGCCGGCGUGAGUAACGAUAGAAGGUGAGAAUCCUUCUGGCCGUAUGACCAAGGUUUCCAGGGUGAAGGUCGUCUACCCUGGGUUAGUCGGGACCUAAGGCGAGGCCGAAAGGCGUAGUCGAUGGAUAACAGGUUAAUAUUCCUGUACUCACCGUAAUUACUGAUGGAGUGACGAAGCCAGCUAAGAUAAACCAGUUAUUGAUUCUGGUCCAAGUACAAAGAGGGUCUGGUAGGCAAAUCCGCCAGGCAUAACCUUGAAGUAUGAUGGGUAGGGCAACCGAAUUAUCUGAACGCUUUGCUUCCAAGAAAAACUUCUAAAGAUAUAAUUAUGGUACUCGUACCAAGAACGAACACACGUGGUCGGGGAGAAAAUCCUCAGGCCAGCGAGAAAACUAUAGUUAAGGAACUCGGCAAAUUAGCCCCGUAAGUUCGCGAGAAGGGGUGCCUAGGGCAACCUAGGCCGCAGUGAAGAGGCACCGGCAACUGUUUAUCAAAAACACAGCUCUCUGCUAAGGCGUAAGCCGAUGUAUAGGGGGCGACGUCUGCCCAGUGCUCCAAGGUUAAGAGGGGGGGUUAGCCAGUAGUAAGAUACUGGUGAAGCUCUGAAUUGAAGCCCGAGUGAACGGCGGCGGUAACUAUAACCGUCCAAAGGUAGCGAAACUCCUUGUCAGGUAAGUUCUGACCCGCAUGAAAGACGUAAUGACUGGUGCACUGUCUCAACUAUAGACUCGGUGAAAUCUUAGUACCGGUGAAGAUGCCGGUUACCCGCAACUAGACGGAAAGACCCCGUGGAGCUUUACUGCAACUUGAUAUUGGGUUUUUCUCUUGUUUGUACAGGAUAGGUGGGAGACUAUGAGGCUAGGACGCCAGUUCUAGCGGAGUCGUUGGUGGGAUACCACCCUAACAGGCGGAAAAUUCUAACUUAUUGGUUUACAGCCAAAAGGACAGUGUUUGGUGGGUAGUUUGACUGGGGCGGUCGCCUCCUAAAAAGUAACGGAGGUGUUCAUAAGGUAUCCUCAGUAGGUAUAGAAAUCCUAUGUAGAGCGUAAAGGUACAAGGAUGCUUAACUGUGAGACUUACAAGUCGAACAGAUACGAAAGUAGGACUUAGUGAUCCGGCGGUUCUUAGUGGUAAGGCCGUCGCUAAACGGACAAAAGUUACCCCGGGGAUAACAGGCUAAUACUUCCCAAGAGAUCACAUCGACGGAAGUGUUUGGCACCUCGAUGUCGACUCAUCGCAUCCUGGAGGUGAAGAAGCUUCCAAGGGUUGGGCUGUUCGCCCAUUAAAGCGG
rnacentral:rRNA from 1 species